ensembl:lncRNA
CAAAAACACAAACCAACAACUCAAAAAAAAGAACACCAUAUCUGUAGACCUAUUCCCUUGUAGCACUGAUCCAGCCUCUGUCCGAUGCCCUGCGAGACCUCUACAGGCACUUUAACACUCUCAAAGAUGAGCUGGGGAAGCUCACGUCAAAGUUAGACAGCGUGGAGGGUUUUGUGGACAACCUGAAGGACGGCAGGUUGUCUGUGGCUCAGCGGCCCGUACAGAGGCUUCCCCCCCCCAUCGGUGUGAGGUCUCCACUGAGAGCUCAGAUGAGGGCUCCUGACAAGGGGACAAUCAAGGGGUCAAAGGUGAUCAGAGCCAGGAGAAGAGGACCACAGAGGCCGUAGACCGAUCAGUGCUGAUGCAUCAACCGAGUGUUAUUGUGGUUAUUUCCAGAUGUCUAGUUUGUAGUUUUAUUGAGGAGUGAAAUGCGACAAGAGGUCACAUGCUCAUGCUUGGUUUAGAAAAGACACAUUUUUCUUUUUUUUUAUAAAAAGAUACAUUUGACCACAAGGUGGCAGCUUGAAUCAACUUAUUGGCACUUUCAUCUUGAUCCUCUGUGUUUGAAUAGCUAAACAUUAAGUAUCACAUUGGCUGUAUAGUCUACAGUUAUGAUUUAUCACAGUAUAUAUAUGUUUACAUAAAAUGUUAUUAAAAAUAUAUAAAUGGAAAAUUGUAACUAGCACCACAAAAGGCUUUUAGUUGUUGUUAAUCAUUCCCGUACACUAUCAAUGGUGGUGGAGCUGCCAGACGCUGGACCAACCUUUGGGGAAAAGGGUCCUGAGAUUAAAGCACACUGUGACUUGUGGACUGAGGGAGCGGGUCGGACCACCUGCUGGGAACUACAACCAGUUUCAGUGGAAUACUUUAAUGUCAAUUAUUUUACACUGCAUCUAUAUCAAAUUGCUUCAUGAGAGUUGCUGUAUAUCUGUAUCUUGAUUAGCAACAGCAAGAUGAGGGAAAUUUUUUGCAAAUUAUUUUUUAUUUCUGACACUGAUAAUUUUAUUAUAGGAGGAAACCAACCAUCGUGACAAAAUAAUACAUUUUUGACCAUGUUGAUGUUUGCUACUAAACUCAC